UUAAGUUAAUUUUAAAGGCUGUUAACUUUUAACUUUAACUAGUUACGUUUUUCAUAAACUUUUCCCAUUACUAUAUUUUUCUCCCAUGUUGUGUUCCACAUACAAUUUUUAUGAACCACUAUUGAACAAGAACAGCUGGCUCCAAAAGAGAGGAGCUCUAUGUUAUCUACAGACCAAAUAAACUCAGAAUAGUCAUGCCCCAACCAGGAUGAUGAUGUUAGCUCAUAGCGAUGGUCAUUUAAAUACUGAGUGAAACAGAUUAUUGACAUUAAGGUGAUGAGCUUCCACUAGAGGCUGUGUUUCUUCAAGGCGAGGUGCUACACGUCUUCUAGCAUGACGAGGACUUGAUCUAAAACCCUGUGACAUAAGAAAAGCAAUGCAUAAGAAUGGCUGAGUUGCUGGAGAGUUAUGCAUCUUUUCUGGAUCUUCAGGCUGCUGAUUCCUAAACUAAGGAUAACUGGUUUGGUAUCUAAGGGGACUUGAGAACCGAAAGGGGAAUGAGGUAGACAUAAUACCCCUGGAUUUCGGGAAAGUUUUUGACACAGUCCCAUAUGCCAUUCUCAUGUAUAAUUAGGAGAAAUGUGGAGGAAUUGCCUCCAUUAGGUGGAUACAUAAUUGGCUGAAUGACAAGAUAAGAAUGGUGAUUAAUGGAUCAAUGUCAGACUGGCAGGAGGUCUCAAGCAGAAUCCCACUGGGGUCUGCUCUGGUUCCAGUGCUAUUUAGCAUUUUUAUUAGUGAUCAGAAUAUAGGAAUAAUGAUCAGAUCUGCAGACAACACAGAAUUGGCAAAGGCUACAAACAUUUUGGAAGACAGGAUUCAAAUUCAAAGGCAUCUUGACAAAUGGGGAAGUGGGCUAUAGGCAUGAAAUUCAGAGACAAAUGUCAGGUGCUGUCUGUGAGG